AUGUGGACACUUUUAGAUUCUCAGGUUCUCAGCUGGGCAGAGAGACCCCCUGGUGUGACUCAGGAAAGAAGACAUGAGUGCAGGUACCUUUUCCAAGGAAGAGCCGAUACUGGUAAGUUCAUGAUGUUGACCUUGAGUGCCUUGACAGUGGCUUGGCCAAAAAGAAUGUCUGUGUGCAGUUUUUGGUUUUUGUUUUCCGGGGUAAAGGCCAUGUCAACAAUUCUUGGUGUGCUUCCUGGGUUUUCUCAGCUUAAAGGAAGGUGACAGAGCCCUUGAGGUAUGCAGAGAAGGAGCCUACCACUCAUUGUGGUAGAGAUCUGAAUAUGGCUAAGAGAAAAAUCUAAACUUUUUAUGAGGGAACAAUUUUAAGCCAAACACUAGAAGGAAAUUGGAAAAGGCUUAAGUGAGCUCUCAGGCAAUGAGCUAAGAGAUAACCAAAUAUGAAGGGAUUCUCGCAGGGAUUUAUUAGUGUCUCAAUCAAUCAGCAAGUAUUUACAGAGUAAAACUACAGGCCAGCCUCUUACUGGGCUACAAGAGGAUUCAUAACAAGCCCUUCCUCAAGGGUUUGCAGUCUGGAUGGAGAGCUAAGACAAGCCCUCUGGAAAGAGAGAACCACACAAAAGAUCUCAAAAGUAAGCAUGCCUGCCUAAACAGCUAGGAAAGUUCUUGAAGUGAGGUAUAGAUUCUGAGUCUUACCUUGAAUCUGAAAUUCUUAAGUUUUCAGUAUCUUGAAUGCUUAUAUAGAUCAAAUCUACUUGUCUAAUUGCAAGCAACAGAAACAAACUCUGGCCUGGUUCAAGAAGAAAAGAAACUUAGGAAAACAAAAAAUCAGAGCUGGGAGGCUGCGCUGGGACCCUGGCUCAGAAAAUGGGUAGAAACAAUGAGAAGCUGGGGAACAGGAAGCACCACCAGGUAACCCCACAGGAACAAGCUGGUGAGGACACCACUGUCACCACGGCAAGGCCUAGGAUUGUAAGAGUUUCAAUUCAAAGCCAGGGGCAGGAGUCCUGUGCCACAUGCCCACAUCCUAGCUGCAAGGGAGGCUGUAAAAUAGAGUGGCUGGAAGGUUCUGAUUUUUAACAGGAGACAAACACUCAUUCAUGAGGUGGGGGAUUCCCCAAACAUGGCUUCAGGGAAGCCAGAACAAAUAGCAAAUGUUCGCCACACCUUCCAUAUCUAGUACAGAAACAGAAAGUAUGGAUGUUAAAGAAUAAUCAGUUUUAUUAACAACAACAACAAAAAGGAAUACUGCAGAAUAAGAAUU
rnacentral:lncRNA from 1 species